UUGCGUUCUUUGAGAGAAAGAGGAUUCAGACGGAGUGGCUGCAGUGUCAGAGGAAGAUAAAAAGUUUAAAGACAAAAUAUAAAGAGAUCAAGGAUGGCAUCAACAAAAGUGGGGCAGGGCGAAACAAUUGCCCCUUUUAUGAUUUAUUAGACAGCAUCCUUGGGGACAAGCCUAGUGUUCAUCCACUGAUGUCGCUGGACAGCUCUGCUCCCGACGAAGAAGGCGAGGAGGAUGAUUUGGAUAGCGUUAGGAGCAGCAAUGCAGAUGAGCCCACACAUCCUGAGUCUGCUGAUACAUCACUGUCAAGCAUCAUAAGUUCAAGUCCAGCCUCUUCCGGGAGUGGAACUGCUUCUGGACAUUCCUCAACCUCCUCUGGAACUCCCUCCGUCACCUCUGGCAGUGGAAAAUCCUCUGGAACUACUUCAGAAUAGACCACAACAAGCCGGAGGCGAAAAAACAAGAUGGAGGCAGCUUUGGAUGUUUUCACAAAAAAAAUGGGUGAGGUGCUGGAAAAGGACAAUCAUGUGUUACUCCAGAUGCAGACCGCACAGCACCAACAUGAAAUGGCAAUGAUGACCUUUCUCGGCCAGCUUAUCAAGGGUGGACAAUCUCAGCAUGGUCCCCCAGUUCUUCCCAGCCAGCACUCUUCCUUAUCCCCAGGAGCAUCACACCAACCACCAGUCUUCCAGCCAGUAUUGCCACCUUAUCAACAGGGGUCUCACACCAAGCAGCACACACAUCUGCCUAGGAUGCCUCAGCCUCUACAUACCCUAGCAGCCCCUGCAAGUGUGAGUGUGAAUGCCCAAACAUCUUAUUUGGGAGACCUCCUAGACGACCAACCUAUUUUUCCUCAUGAUAGCCAAAUAUAGGUCAGCCAAACAACGGGGCAGUUUCUGAUUUUUCAGUUGAAGUUUUAAAGUGAAGCAAACAGUUUUAAGUUUGUUUGGAAUGCAAACAAUGUUCAAGAAUACUAAAACAUUUAUUCAGGUAUUUUAUUAGAUUUUAUGUGAUUUUACACAUCAAAUGUUCAAGAAUACAAAAAAAAUAUUCAAGUAUUUUAUUACAUUUUGUGAUUUUACAAAUAUCACAUUUUGUUGACAGAAAAAAAGGUUUACACUGCCACUGAACAGUAGGGAAACCUAACUUUGAAUGCAC